UGCCAGCCGCCGCGGUAAUACGGAAGGGGCGAGCGUUGUUCGGAUUUACUGGGCGUAAAGCGUGCGUAGGCGGCUUAGAAAGUCAGGGGUGAAAUCCCGGGGCUCAACCCCGGAACUGCCUUUGAAACUAUUAAGCUAGAGACCGAUAGAGGAUGGCGGAAUUCCUAGUGUAGCGGUGAAAUGCGUAGAUAUUAGGAGGAACACCAGUGGCGAAGGCAGCUAUCUGGACGAUUACUGACGCUCAGGCACGAAAGCAUGGGGAGCGAAAGGGAUUAGAUA
rnacentral:rRNA from 1 species